rnacentral:rRNA from 1 species
UACGUAGGGGGCUAGCGUUGUCCGGAAUCAUUGGGCGUAAAGCGCGCGUAGGCGGUCAGGUAAGUCCGGUGUGAAAGUCAAAGGCUCAACCUUUGAAUGCCGCUGGAAACUGCCUGACUUGAGUCCGGGAGGGGCGAGUGGAAUUCCUGGUGUAGCGGUGAAAUGCGCAGAUAUCGGGAGGAACACCAGUGGCGAAGGCGACUUCCUGGCCUGUUCUUGACGCUGAGGCGCGAAAGCUAGGGUAGCAAACGGG